CUUUUUGUUUUUGUAACACUUUAAAUAAAAUUUUGUUUGUAAAGUAUAACUUUUUACGCCACGCAUGCGAGAUGCGACAUGGCCCGCCAGUCUAGGUGCGCAAAAUUUUUGCACGUGGUCCGAGAACUUUGCCCAACCCUGCUCUAGUUCAUAUUUUCAGCUUUGUUGAGAAAUGAGAAAUAAAUUACUAAUUUCUGAAUAAUAUCUAUUUUGUUUUAAAAUUCAAUAGAAUUAUAUUGGGUAUAUAUUAAUAUGAUUUAUUUCCAGUAUAUAUGCUAUGUAAGCUUACCCAACCAACCUUAAUUAAGUGUUAUUAUAUUUUAAAGUGAAUUGGAAAGUAGACCGCUAGCAAAAAAGAUUCGGGCGACUGGGCGAAGCCCAUCUCUGUACAAUGACUGCCAAAUGUGCAUGCAACUGUGCAAUGCCCAGCGACUCUAAAAGCAUGAAGUAUUAGAUCAAGCCAUGCUCCAAUCCAGUCCAUGGAAAAAUUGUUGGGACAGGCGGUAGAAACUCUUAUGCUACAAGCUACGACAUCUGCAACUUUCCACUGAUUAUAAUGUGGACUCAGACAUACCGGAAUUGAUGAAAUUCAUUGUCAAUUCAUUGUCUGAUUACAUUUUGAUCCAGAAUACAUUCAAGGAUGAAAAAAUGGCUCAUAGGAUAUUUGUCAAGUCUCGGAGGUUGCUCCAAGAAAGACUGGAUUGGAGAAUCAUGAGCUCAGUUAUAACAAAUUUA